rnacentral:rRNA from 1 species
CCUACGGGGGGCAGCAGUGGGGAAUAUUGCGCAAUGGGCGAAAGCCUGACGCAGCGACGCCGCGUGAGGGAUGAAGGUCUUCGGAUGGUAAACCUCUUUCAGCAGGGAAGAACGGUCACUGUGCUAAUCAGCAGUGAAUUGACGGUACCUGCAAAGGAAGCACCGGAUAACUCCGUGACAGCAGCCGCGGUAAUACGGAGGGUGCUAGCGUUAAUCGGACUUACUGGGCGUAAAGCGCUCGUAGGCGGUAUGUCAAGUCAAGGGUGAAAUCCCCGCGCGAAACGUGGGAACUGCCUUUGAAGCUGUCAGACUGGAGUGUGUGAGAGGAUAGUGGAAUUCCAGGUGGAGGAGUGAAAUCCGUAGAUAUCUGGAGGAACAUCAGUGGCGAAGGCGACUAUCUGGCACAUAACUGACGCUGAGGAGCGAAAGCGUGGGUAGCAAACAGGAUUAGAUACCCUGGUAGUC